UGAGGUUGAGUAUCAGUGAUUCUCUCCACUAGGUUCAGAGACUAGGGAUCCAGGAAAUAGGCUAUUAAAUACAGAUCUUCACCCUUUUCCUUUCACCUCUGUACUUAACCCCUGCCCAGGAUCAGAGAUGGCUGCGGUGGUGGUAGGAGAAGAUUAUUGAUGAGAGGCCUGGGAGAGGAGGAUGCUAUGUUCCUGCAGACACUUACACAACAGCUAAAUGUUGUUUUCAGCCUUACACUUUGAGCUGCACUCUCGUAGAGUUUACAAAGAUAAAUGAUCUAUUCUUGCCUCAUUGUUUCUGCCUGGUUCAUUCUCUUGGGAUUUGCUUUUAAAAUAAAUUAUUUGCAACUAAGAUUAUGUGUACACAUACAAUUGGUUUCAUUUACUAAUUCACUUGUUCAAGUAUUGUUGACUAUUGCGUGUGGGCCUGAGCAUGCAAUAAAGAGCAGGCAUGUGUCCCCAAGGAGCUAAUGGUCUAGAAGUGAAGGCUGCAGUCUGUAAAAAAACUGCAAUACAUUAUGAAAGGGCUGUAAGAGAAGGAUGCACAAAGCUUAGCUGUGACAUGAAAGCAAUGCAGCAGCUUUACUUGAGAGGCUUGACAGAGGACUAAGUGCUUGAGCUGCCUCUUGCAGGAUGGGUGGGAAUUUGCCUGGUUGACAGCAUGGGAAAGGGCAUUCCAGGAAGAUAAAGCCUUAGCAAAAAAGGAUCCAGAGACCUGGAAAUAGAGAGAUGCAUUUGUGAGCAGUAAAUCUUCACAUGGCAGGAUUACAAAGUGGGAGGAGGAGUAGAGUCACAAAGGAAGGAUCUGGAGAGCUUGGCCACGACCAGGUCAAGGAGGGUAUGCCAUGCUGCUAUGUUUGAACUCUGUCCUGCAGGCAAGACAGGGGACAUAUUCCGAUUAGCAUUUUACAAAUAUCUCUCAGGCAGCCUCACAAGAAUGAUACAGAGGAAGCCAAGCCCGGAUUUGGGAGACAUGGUGUGCAGACAAUUACAGUAAUAUUCAAGCGAAAAAACAAUGAAAGCCUGAAUUAAUGCUGCGAUAUUUAGAAUAGUGAGCACAGGAUGGACUGUCAAACUUAGCACACAGUACUUAGUGGCUGAGUCAGUGUGAAGGGUGAGGGAAAUUGAAGGCAAUUCCCAGGACUGCAGCUUGGGUGACAAAGUGGGUAGUGAUGAUAUUGCUCAGGAUAAGGAAGAUGAGCAGGCCUUUGAGAAAAGUAGUGACCUACAUUUCAUUUUUUAAUUUUAAUUUUAAUUCAUUUAUUUAUUGAGAUGGAGUUUCACUCUGUCGCCCAGGCUGGAGUGCAGUAGUGUGACCUCACUGCAACCUCCACCUCCUGAGAUCAAGUGAUUCUCCUGCCUCAGCCUCCUGAGUAGCUGGGAUGACAGGCGUGCACCACCACACCUGGCUAAUUUUUUUAUUUUUAGUAGAGAUGGGGUUUUGCCAUGUUGGCCAGGCUGGUCUUGAACUCCUGACCUCAGGUGAUUUGCCCGCCUCGGCCUCCCAAAAUGUUGGGAUUACAGGUGUGAGCCACUGCGCGCGGCCUGUGUGACCUACAUUUUAGAUUUAUUGUAUCUGUGGUCAUGUGUGGUCUGUGGAAAGAUCCUUGGCUUUGGGAUAAGAAAGACCUGAGUUUCAAUUUUACUUCUCCAGUUUAUCACCUGUGCAUUCUUAGGUAAACCUCUGGGAUCCUUGAUUUCCUGGUCUGUAAAGUGAGGGUAAUAAUUAGUAACAUGCAGGCUGUUUGUGAUAGGUAAAGCUCCAGACUCAAAGCCAGUUCCAAAUAAAGGGUAGGUUGUUAUCACUGCAGUGUCUAUAGGCAGAGAUCAAGACCUGGAGCCCAGGGAAGAGGCUGAAAAUGCAGACUUCAGCAUCAAGAGCAUAAAAGAGACCAAAAUCAGUGGGGCUGAGGUGCCAUGCUCGUUCACUCAUCCAGAAUCAUUUGUUGAGAGCAGGUGUGUACUAAGCUCUGUAUAGGAAGUAGGGAAGCCGAGAUAGACAAGGAUUAGUCCCUGGCCUCAGGAUCUUAGCAUCUAUAGAGUGAGACAGAGAAGGAGGUCAAGAGUGUUUUGAAUAAGAGGUGGCUCAAGGAUGAAUCAGUAUAUCCAGAUUUUAAAAUUGUGUAAUAUAAUAUAUAUACAGAAAAGGAUGUAGACAGUUUGAUGGAUUUUCACCAUUUGAACAUUAUCAGCAUUCUGAGAGCACAUCUCUUGCCCUUUUCCAGUUAUGUUAGAACCCAAGGGUAACUGCUGUAACUGUUAACACCAUAUCUAUUACUUUUGCCUGCUUUUGUCCUUUAUGUAUAUGGAAUCAUAUGCUCUGCGUCAUGUGUGUGUGUCUGACUUAUUUCACUCCAUGGUAUGUCAGUGAGAUUUGUUCAUGUGUAACAAUCAUCCAUUCUCAUUACUGUAUUGAAUUCCAUCCUAUGAAUGUGCUAUAAUCUCUUCGUUCUACCAUUGAUGAAUUUGGAUUACUUUUGGCUUUGGCUCUUACAAAUAGUGCUUCUAUGAAUAUUAUGGUACAUCUCUGCAGAUGCAGCCCUAGGGGUGGAGUCGCUACAUCAUGGGGCUUGCAUGAAUUCCACUUUAGUAGUUAUUACCGCGUGCCUUUUUAAAGCAGGUAUGCCAAUUUGUGCCCCUUCUAACAUGCAUGAGGGUCCUAACUGUCCUCAACCUGCUGUAGUAUUUUCAUCUUUUGCAUUUUGGCCAUUCUGAUGGCUAUGUAGUGGUGUACCUUAUAGUUUUAAUUUUUAUUUCUCUGGUGGUUAACAAAGUUGAGCCCCUUUUCCUAUUUUUUUUGGCUGUUGUAUAUUCUCUUUUUAUAAAGUGGCUGCUGAACUAUGUUUCCACCUUUCUAUUGGGCUUUCUCUAUUUUCAGCAUCAAUAUUGAAACAAUGAGAAUUAUUAUUGAGGGCCUAUCUGGAACUAUGUUUGUGGAGGUAGAGAAGAGAACAAUAUAGUCAUACUCUGUACCUCAAGAAAGCUUGGCUGUGUGUAGGAGGAGUGAGAUGAUAGAAUAAGAGGUAAGACCCAGAAAGCAUUUCUGCAUCAUUGUGAACCUGUUUAUAUGUGCUGACCAAGUAGAGCCAUUGGAGAGGGAAAUGUAGAUGAUAUAGAGGAAAGAUGAUAAUUGAGCAGAAUCCUGGAGCAGCUAGAGUGCUUUGAGCACCAGAAAGGACUGAUUGGGGCAGAAGGAGGUAUACUACUAAGUUUAUGGGUAGAAACUGUGCAUUAAACAUAAUUUUCUUUGAAAAAUUCAUUAUUUUAUUGUUUUUUCUUUUUUGUGAAGUGAAAGGCAAAUUUAUUUAUCUGGAAAAACUGGAUAAUAUUGACAAAAAUGGGGAACACUUGGAAUUGUCUCUGAAGGAAAUGGCAGAGAGUGCUGAGCAGAGCAUCCUGGAAUGAGAGGCCGACAUUCAGAGGGCUCCACAGAAGUAGCCCAGCCUGUGAAAUUGGUGCUUUUUCUCAGCCCCUCUAGAUUACAUAGGGACCGAAAAACCAGUGAACCAAAUUGAGUGUUUUUUAGGAUGGGUAUGAAGGACAAGGUAUCAGAUGAGUUGGGAUGCUGGCAAGACAAAGGGCAAAGUGGUUCACAGUGGAAUUCAGAGACAAUAGUGAAAGAAACCCAGAGCAGGAGGAGGAGGAAGAUGGUGAACUGCUGGAAUUGAGGAACUGGGUGUCUCCAUAAGGUUGAAGAACAAACACUAAGUGUGAAGAUUAGGAAGUUUUUCCAACAUUAAAUAAGGCACAUGGGAAUUAAAGAAGCUUCCUCUCAUUUUAAAAAGUCUAUUGCUUAGACAAGUUGCAGAAUUUGUGCGGAAUAAAGCUACUACAAAAUUUGUGCAGCAAUGGAUAGCCUGUAAAGCAGGGGUCCCAGUACCUGGGCUACGGAUCACUAGUGGUCUGUUGGCUGUUAGGAACUGCUGCACAGCAGGAGGUAAGUGGAGGUGAGCGAGCAUUACCACUUGAGCUCCGCCUCCUGUCAUAUCAGCAGUGGCAUGAGAUUCUCACAGAAGCGUGAACCCUAUUGUGAACUGCGCAUGCCAGGGAUCUAGGUCUCUUGCCCAAAGAGAAUCUAAUGCAUGAUGAUCUGUCACUGUCUCCCAUCACCCCCAGAUAGGACCAUCUAGUUUUCCUGCAGGAAAACAAGCUCAGGGCUCCCAC
rnacentral:lncRNA from 1 species